ensembl:snRNA U6 U6 spliceosomal RNA
GUGCUCAAUUCGGCAGCACAUACACUAAAAUUAGAACAAUACAGAGAAGAUUAGCAUGCCCUCUGCAUAAGGAUGACAUGCAAAUCUGUAAAGCAUUUCAUAGUUUA